UGGGGAAUAUUGGACAAUGGGGGGAACCCUGAUCCAGCCAUGCCGCGUGUGUGAAGAAGGCCUUAUGGUUGUAAAGCACUUUAAGCGAGGAGGAGGGUACUGGUAUUAAUACUACCAGGUACUGGACGUUACUCGCAGAAUAAGCACCGGCUAACUCUGUGCCAGCAGCCGCGGUAAUACAGCGGGUGCGAGCGUUAAUCGGAUUUACUGGGCGUAAAGCGUGCGUAGGCGGCUAAUUGAGUCGGAUGUGAAAUCCCCGAGCUUAACUUGGGAAUUGCAUUCGAUACUGGUUAGCUAGAGUGUGGGAGAGGAUGGUAGAAUUCCAGGUGUAGCGGUGAAAUGCGUAGAGAUCUGGAGGAAUACCGAUGGCGAAGGCAGCCAUCUGGCCUAACACUGACGCUGAGGUACGAAAGCAUGGGGAGCAAACAGG
rnacentral:rRNA from 1 species